rnacentral:rRNA from 1 species
UACGUAGGUGGCAAGCGUUGUCCGGAAUUAUUGGGCGUAAAGCGCGCGCAGGCGGUCCUUUAAGUCUGAUGUGAAAGCCCACGGCUCAACCGUGGAGGGUCAUUGGAAACUGGAGGACUUGAGUACAGAAGAGGAAAGCGGAAUUCCACGUGUAGCGGUGAAAUGCGCAGAUAUCGGGAAGAACACCCGUGGCGAAGGCGACUCUCUGGUACGUUACUGACGCUGAGACGCGAAAGCGUGGGGAGCAAACAGG